GGUGCUAUAGUGUAGGGGUUAUCACUCUGGAAUUUGAUGCUCCAACUUUUCCCGAGACCCAGGUUCGAAUCCUGGUAGCACUU